CUAUAGACUAAAGUCUAUGGCGGAAGGAG
rnacentral:ncRNA from 1 species